GAUAAUCUUGUUCUUUUGGAAUUUGUUAAUUUUCUGGGUUGAUUAGUGAUCAGAUCUGCAGGGUUUGUAAACAAAUCUCAACUAUUUUCUCUUGUUUUUUCAGUCGUUUCCUUUGUUUCGAACUUGACUUCUAAACUUAUUUGAUUUUGUAGUUUUGUGAAUUUUCUUGUUUUGUAUGGUGUUUUAUAAUACUGAACUCACAUGUGAGAACUUGUGAUCCUGUUACAAGAACGCUUAAAAACCCAUUCCAAUUGAUAUGUACUUUGAGGCUUGUACUUUGCAGUUGAUUGGGCGUAUUUGUAGCAGGUACUGCUUUCUCGAUGGAAGUUCUUUCUGUUGUUUUGACGUUUGUUAUUGUUCUAUACCUUCCUGAAUCUUUUUGAUUUUACGUUAUUUUUUUGCUAGCCGCGUUUGUUCAACACUCUCGUAUUAUUGAAGUUGUUUCACUUCUCAGAUGUUUUAAUGUUUUCAACACUCCCAUAUUGUUUUUGAUGUUUUCUGCUUGUUCUUAUUUUAGUUUUGAAUUUAAAUUCUAAACUUAUUUAAUUUUGAAGUUCUGUGAAGAUAUUGUUUUAUAUAUAAACUAUUGUACAUUUCGUGCUCUAUAUCGUGUUUUACAAGACUGAACUCACAUGUGAGAACUUGUGAUCCUGUUACAAGAACACCUAAAACCCCAUUUUAAUUGUUUUGUACAGAGUCUUGUACUUUGCAGUUACGUAGGUUGUGAUCGUAGCUUGUAUUGCUUUCUUGAUGGAAGUUCUUUCUGUUAUUUUCACGUUUGUUUUUUCUGUACUUCCCUGAAUCCGUUUGAUUUUAUGUUUUCCUUUUUUGGCACUCCCAUAUUAUUGAAAUUGUUUCACUUCUCUGUCAUUUCAAUGUUUUUAAAACUCACAUAUUAUUGUAAAUCUUUUCCUUUGUUUUUAACUUGACUUCUAAACUUAUUUGAUUUUGUAGUAUUAUGAAGGGGUUGUUUAUGUUACAAACUAUCGUAAUUUUCUUGUUUUAUAUGGUGUUUACAAGACUGAACUCACAUGUAGGAACUUGUGAUCUUGUUACAAGAACACCUAAAAACCCAUUCCAAUUGUUUUGUACUUUGAGGCUUGUACUUUGCAGUUGAUUGGGCGUACGUAGGUUGUGUUUGUAGCAUGGAUUGCUUUCUUAAUGGAGGUUCUUUCUGUUAUUUUUAGGUUUGUUUGUUCUAUACUUUCCUGAAUUCGUUUGAUUUUACGCUUUCUUUUUUUUGGCACUCCCGUAUUGUUGAAUUUGUUUCACUUCUCAGUUAUUUCAAUGUUUUCAAAACUCCCAUAUUAUUGUAGAUGUUAUCUGUUGUUUUUAUUGUUUUUGAAUUUGAAUGUUAAACUUUUUUGAUUUUAUAGUUUUGUGAAGUACAAACUGUUCCUUUUAUUGUUGUUUUCACUUAGUUUUUAACAAGACUGAGCUCACUUUGAGAAAUAGCAACACUGUUACCGGAGCACCUAAAUCCCUAUUUUAACCUGUCACUGUACUUUGAGGCUUGUACUUUGCGGUUGAUUGGUGAUGAAGGUAGCUACUGUAACGUGAAUUGCUUUCUUGAUAAAGUUCUCUCUUUUGAUCUUUUUGAUGAUUUUUACUAUGUUACUAUCAUAUUUUUUUAUUUCUUUCUAAUGAGAUUUUUUUUUAUAUAUUUUAAUAGCUUUAUGGUUUGACAAUUUUAUAUUGUAUUUUACAAGACUGAACUCACUUCGAGAAAUAGGAAUUCCAUUACCAGAGCACCUAAGAACCCAAUUCAAAUUGUCUUUGUACUUUGAGGCUUGUACUUUGCGGUUGAUUGGGUGACGAAGGUUGCUAUUGUAACGUGAAUUGCUUUCUUGAAAAAGUUUUUUCUUAUGAUAUUUUUUUUUAUGAUUUUGACUAUGUUUUAUAUAACUUUUAUUUCUUGGCGAUGAGAUUUUUUUUUUAUAUAUUGUAAUAGCUUUUUGGUUCAAUAGUUUUAUAUCAAGUCUUUUCCUUUGUUUUUAACUUGACUUAUAAACUUAUUUGAUUUUGUAGUAUUAUGAAGGGGUUGUUUAUGUUACAAACUAUCGUAAUUUUCUUGUUUUAUAUGGUGUUUACAAGACUGAACUCACUUCGAGAAAUAGGAAUUCCAUUACCAGAGCACCUAAGAACCCAAUUCAAAUUGUCUUUGUACUUUGAGGCUUGUACUUUGCGGUUGAUUGGGUGACGAAGGUUGCUAUUGUAACGUGAAUUGCUUUCUUGAUAAAGUUUUUUCUUAUGAUAUUUUUUUUAUGAUUUUGACUAUGUUUUAUAUAACUUUUAUUUCUUGGCGAUGAGAUUUUUUUUAUAUAUUGUAAUAGCUUUUUGGUUCAAUAGUUUUAUAUCAGUCUUUUCCUUUGUUUUUAACUUGACUUAUAAACUUAUUUGAUUUUGUAGUAUUAUGAAGGGGUUGUUUAUGUUACAAACUAUCGUAAUUUUCUUGUUUUAUAUGGUGUUUACAAGACUGAACUCACAUGUAAGAGCUUGUGAUCCUGUUACAAGAACACCUAAAAACCCAUUCCAAUUGUUUUGUACUUUGAGGCUUGUACUUUGCAGUUGAUUGGGCGUACGUAGGUUGUGUUUGUAGCUUGGAUUGCUUUCUUAUUGGAAGUUAUUUCUGUUAUUUUCAAGUUUGUUUGUUCUAUACUUUCCUGAAUUCGUUUGAUUUUACGUUUUCUUUUUUUGGCACUCCCGUAUUGUUGAAAUUGUUUCACUUCUCAGUUAUUUCAAUGUUUUCAAAACUCCCAUAUUAUUGUAGAUGUUAUCUGUUGUUUUUAUUGUUUUUGAAUUUGAAUGUUAAACUUGUUUGAUUUUAUAGUUUUGUGAAGUACAAACUGUUGUUCUUUUAUUGUUGUUUUUACUUGGUUUUUAACAAGACUGAGCUCACUUCGAGAAAUAGCAACACUGUUACCGGAGCGCCUAAAACCCCAUUUUAACCUGUGAUCGUACUUUAAGGCUUGUACUUUGCGGUAGAUUGGUGACGAAGGUAGCUACUGUAAAGUGAAUUGCUCUCUUGAUAAAGUUCUCUCUUUUGAUCUUUUUGAUGAUUUUUACUUUGUUACUAUCAUAUUUUUUUAUUUAUUUAUUGGUAAUGAGAUUUUUUUACAUAUUUUAAUAGCUUUAUAGUUUGACAUUUUUAUAUUGUAUUUUACAAGACUAAACUCACUUCGAGAAAUAGGAAUUCCAUUACCAGAGCACCUAAGAACCGAAUUCAACUUGUCUUUGUACUUUGAGGCUUGUACUUUGCGGUUGGUUGGGUGACGAAGGUUGCUAUUGUAACGUGAAUUGCUUUCUUGAUAAAGUUUUUUCUUUUGAUAUAUUUUUUUUUAUGAUUUUGACUAUGUUUUAUAUAACUUUUAUUUCUUGGUGAUGCAAUUUUUCUUAAUAUAAUGUAAUAACUUGACUUCUAAACUUAUCUGAUUUUGUAGUAUUACGAAGGGGUUGUUUAAGUUAUAAACUAUGGUAAUUUUCUUGUUUUAUAUGGUGUUUUACAACACUAAACUCACAUGUUAGAACUUGUGACCCUGUUACAAGAACACUUAAAAACCCAUCCCAAUUGUUUUGUACUUUGAGGCUUGUACUUUGCAGUUGAUUGGGCGUACGUAGGUUGUGUUUGUAUCAUGGAUUGCUUUCUUAAUGGAAGUCCUUUUUGUUAUUUUAACGUUUGUUUUUGUUCUAUACUUCCUUGUAUCGUUUUUACAUUACGUUUUUUGCUAGCUGCAUUUGUUCAGCACUCUCAUAUUAUUAAAAUUGUUUCACCUCUCAGCUGUUUUAAUGUUUUCAACACUCCCAUAUUAUUGUAGAUGUUCUCUGCUGUUUUUUUUUUAAAAUUAAAUUCUAAACUUAUUUGAUUUUGUAGUUCUGUGAACAAAUUGUUUAUUUAAAAACUAGUGUAAUUUUCUUGUUAUAUAUGGUGUUUUACAAGACUGGACUCACAUGUGAGAACUUGUGAUCCUAUCACAAGAACACCUAAAAACCCAUUUCAAUUGUUUUGUACUUUGAGGCUUGUACUUUGCAGUUGAUUGGGCGUACGUAGGUUGUGUUUGUAGCAUGGAUUGCUUUCUUAAUGGAAGUUCUUCCUCUGUUAUUUUCAACUUUUUUUUUAUGGUAAUGAGAAACUUUAGAUGUAAUUUACGUUUAUUUUUGUUUGAAACUUCUUUGAAUCUCUUUGAUUUUACGUUUUCUUCUUAGCUACAUGGUUUAAUGUUCGUACUGAGAAAUUGUUUCAUGGAGAAAUUGUUUUAAUGUUUUCACCCUCCCAUAUUAUUGGAGAUGUUUUAUAUACUUAAUUUUGUAUGUGUUUUGUUACUUUUCAAUAAUGAUGCUAUGGUUUGACAGUUUUUUAUAGUAUUUUACAAGACUAAAUUGGCAUUCGAGAAAUAGGAAUGCCGUUACUAGCGCACCUAAAAACCCAAUUGAACUUGUCUUGGUACUUUGUGGCUUGUACUUUGCGGUUGAUUGGGCGACGAAGGUUGCCACUGUAACGUGAAUUGCCUUCUUGAUAAAGUUCAUCCUGUUGAUAUUCUAUUUUUUGUCGAUUUUGACUAUGUUACCAUCAUAAUUUUUAUUUUAUAUAGUUUAAUAACUUUGUGGGUUAAAAAUUUUCUAUGGUUUUUACAAGACUGAGUUCACUUCGAGAAAUAGGAAUGGUGUUUCCAGAGCACCUAAGAACCCAAUUCGACUUGUCUUUGUACUUUGAGGUUUGUACUUUGCAGUUGAUUGGAUGACGAAGGUUGCUAGUGUAACAUAAAUUUCUUUCUUGAUGAAGUUCUUUCUUUUGAUAUUCUAUUUUUUUUAUGAUUUUGACUAUGUCAUUUAUAUAACUUUUAUUUCUUGGUGAUGAGAUUUUUUUUAUACAACAUAAUAGCCUUGUGGUUUGAUAGUUUUAUAUGGUAUUUUACAAAAUUGAACUCAUAUUCAAGAGCUACGCAUGCAUUACUAGAGUAUCUUAGAACCCAUCUCAACUUGUCUUUGUACUUUGAGGCUUGUACUUUGCGGUUGAAUGGGUGACAAAGGUUGCUACUGUGGUGUGAAUUGCUUUCUUGAUAAAGUUCUUUUCGUUGAACUUCUAUUUUUGAUUGUUAUAUUCAUAACUCAUAUUUCUUAGUAAGGAUAUUUUUUUUAAUAUAAUGCAUUAGCUCUUUUGCCUGACAGUUUUAUAUGCUAUUUUACAAGACUGAACUCACAUUCGAGAAAUUGUAAUCCCGUUACUAAAGCACCUAAAAGCCCAUUUCAGUUUGUUUUUGUACUUUGAGGCUUGUACUUUGCGGUUGACUGGGUGAUGAAGGUUGUUAUUGUAGCGUGGAUUGCUUUCUUGGUGAAGUUCUUUCUGUUGAUAUUCUGUUUUUAAUGAGAUUCUUUCAUAUAGUUUAAAUAGCUUUGUGGUUUGACAAUUUUAUAUGGUAUACUAUAAGAUUAAACUCACAUUUGAGAAAUAGGAAUGCUGUUACUAGAGCUACCUAUAUAAUAUCGGCUAAGACUAUAAACCCAUUUCAACCAUUUUUGUUGUUAUUUUCAUAACUUUUAUUUCUUGGUAUUGAGUUUUUUUUUAGAUAUAUUGUAAUAGAUUUGUGGUUUGACAGUUUUUAUAAUAUUUACAAAAGUGAACUCACACCUGAGAACUAGGCCUGCUGUUACUAAAGCACCUAAGAACACAUUUCAACCUGUCUUUGUAUAAAACUUGCAGCUUUUAUGUUUUUAACUUUUUCUGCUGUUUUUAUUCUUUUUUGAAGAUACGAACGAUUGUACUUCUAUUGUUGUUUUUACUUGUUUUUUUUUUUUUUCUGGGGGAUAUGAAUAGCAAAUCAAGAUGGAACACUUCUUACUCAAAUUAAGAGUCCUCAGCCCCCUGGAGCUUAACGGAAACUGAAACAGAUUAUGCAAUAAUGCUAUGACGCACAUAUUCGACAAACUUGUCUCGAAGUACAGUACUGGGGCAGUUACUGACUUACUGGAUAUGUCAUAUAGUUGUCAUAGAUGCUUUUAAAGCGGAAGAAUUUGCUGAGGUGGCAACGAAGCCUCUGAAAGCCCUUCCAUAUGACACACCUGGUUGAAGUUUAUGGCAUUUGAGUACCCCAUAAGGGGUCCCAGCUCAUCUGUUGGCAGAUUUUUGACAUGUUGAAGUUUAUCGUCAAAGAGGUCCCUAAACUUGUAUGAAAAAAAAGAUGCAAGCAUUAGCCAAAUUGGGAAGUGAACAUGUUAGAAAAUAUCUUCAUUUGCCUUUUUGAUGAAGUUCAACGCGUGACAAGUGUAAAUGUAGGGGUGACAAGUGUAAUACAAAGAUGCUGUUAGUGGAUUAUAUAGAUGCUGCAUGUGCAAAUUUGAUGAAGUUCAACGCGUGAACUUUUUCCCGAGUGAAGUUUCACGCGUGGAACUUAAUGGUGGCGGCGGUGUUCCGAUGCUCAUCACUCGUGAUGGAACCUCCAUCAAGGACCACCCCCAGUCCCCUUAUUAGUUAAACAAUGUAAAAGAAGGUUGUGAAUGUAUGAGAUUGCUUUGACAAUUUGAAACUUUCCUUUUUUAUGUACUCGUUAAACCUUUUCUUUAUUAAGAAAAUUCAGUUUCUCUUUUGUCA